rnacentral:rRNA from 1 species
UACGGGGGGGGCAAGCGUUGCUCGGAAUCACUGGGCGUAAAGGGCGCGUAGGCGGCCAUUCAAGUCGGAGGUGAAAGCCCAGGGCUCAACCCUGGAAUUGCCUUCGAUACUGUUUGGCUAGAGACCGGAAGAGGUAAGUGGAACUGCGAGUGUAGAGGUGAAAUUCGUAGAUAUUCGCAAGAACACCAGUGGCGAAGGCGGCUUACUGGUCCGGUUCUGACGCUGAGGCGCGAAAGCGUGGGGAGCAAACAGG